GGGGUGCUGGGCUGCGGUGGGCCCGCGAGGGAUGGGCCGGUUUGGCCCAAAGUGGCCGGGCCGGUCCGUUUCUCCCUUUUUUUUCUUUAACCCUUUUUCCUUGUUCUUUUUGUGUAAUUCCUUUAUAACUUUUGAUUUUGAACUCCAAAUUGACCCAAAUAAAUUGCAGAAAGUUUGUAAAAUCAUAUUAUAAUAUGAUUCCACUUUUGGGCCUAUUUUACCUUCCAAAUAAAAUAUAUAAAAAUACAUUUUCCCUAUAAAUGCCUUUAGGGCUCUAUAACUAUUUAAAUAAAAUAGUUUUUCAACUCCAAUAAAUAUCCAAAAAUUAUGGGAUAGCU
rnacentral:lncRNA from 1 species